CCCUAACAAAUUCAAGUGACCAAACUGAAAAGAAAAAUAAUAGUAACAAAACUUCUGUCAUGACUGAAAAAUAAAAUAAUUAACUGUCCAAAUCCGAACUCAGUCCAGUCACUCACUGAGUAAACUCUGCUCUCCCGUCUAUAUAUAUAACAUUGUAUAUCUACACUUCUCUGUAAUCUCCCUCUCUCUCCUCUCUAACUUUCUCUCUCAUAGCAUUCCUAUUACCAGUAUUCUAUGACAACACGAAACAUAGAUCCAUUUCGUCAGUAACUUAGAUAACGGUUUUUUUCUUUCCCCAAUUUGCCCUUUCUCUUCCAAAAUUUCGCCUGUUUUUCUUGAAUAAUCA
rnacentral:lncRNA from 1 species